rnacentral:rRNA from 1 species
UACGUAGGCAGCAAGCGUUGUUCGGAGUUACUGGGCGUAAAGGGUGCGUAGGCGGCCUUAUAAGUAUGGUGUGAAAUCUCACAGCUUAACUGUGAAACUGCAUUGGAUACUAUCCGGCUAGAGGAAUGGAGGGGAGACUGGAAUACUUGGUGUAGCAGUGAAAUGCGUAGAUAUCAAGUGGAACACCAGUGGCGAAGGCGAGUCUCUGGACAUUUCCUGACGCUGAGGCACGAAAGCCAGGGGAGCAAACGGG